rnacentral:rRNA from 1 species
UGGGGAAUUUUGGACAAUGGGGGAAACCCUGAUCCAGCCAUCCCGCGUGUGCGAUGAAGGCCUUCGGGUUGUAAAGCACUUUUGGCAGGAAAGAAACGUCGCGGGUUAAUACCCCGCGAAACUGACGGUACCUGCAGAAUAAGCACCGGCUAACUACGUGCCAGCAGCCGCGGUAAUACGUAGGGUGCAAGCGUUAAUCGGAAUUACUGGGCGUAAAGCGUGCGCAGGCGGUUCGGAAAGAAAGAUGUGAAAUCCCAGAGCUUAACUUUGGAACUGCAUUUUUAACUACCGGGCUAGAGUGUGUCAGAGGGAGGUGGAAUUCCGCGUGUAGCAGUGAAAUGCGUAGAUAUGCGGAGGAACACCGAUGGCGAAGGCAGCCUCCUGGGAUAACACUGACGCUCAUGCACGAAAGCGUGGGGAGCAAACAGGAUUAGAUACCCUGGUAGUCCACGCCCUAAACGAUGUCAACUAGCUGUUGGGGCCUUCGGGCCUUAGUAGCGCAGCUAACGCGUGAAGUUGACCGCCUGGGGAGUACGGUCGCAAGAUUAAAAACUCAAAGGAAUUGACGGGGUCAUAGCUGUUUCCU